CUCAUCCCACGGUGGAGCGCGCCAACGGCUCUAAAGGUGUAGCGAUGAAUGCAAUGGCUGUUAUUUCUCUAUGUUACCGUUGCAAAAAGCACGAUUUCACCUCUUAUUUCUGUUUUUUUUGGUUCAAUUUGCCUGUGUUAUCAUGUGUUUGGCAUGGCAGUGCGUCUUUAUUCUUUGUUUGUUUGAGAAGACGUCGUGCAAGUCCUCUCGCCCGCCUGGGGAAGCUCUUCCUGUGGAUUGGUAACUUGCAGCCGCCGUUCCGACACCCUGCAUUCGUAUCUUUCUUGAGACCAAGUCCACAGAGCUCAUCCUUAUCUUUCUUGAGACCAAUCAUCUGCGAAGGAAUGUUGCGUCAUACUCUGCAGGGCAUCGCAACAGCACCCAGAGGAUAAUUUGAGAAGCCGGCUUGUAAUUCAGAAUCAUAACAAGAUUAGCAAGGCUGUCCGUUCCCAAUAGGGCUAGUGACGUUCCCUGACUGUUAUGUCUUUGGAAUAGUGGCUAUGAUUCAUCUGAAUUCAAACCCUCUGAAGCAUUAAGGCAAUCUAUAACUCAUUCUGCGUCCACAAGUUUACCAUGUAUAUUGCAUAACCAAACCCAGUUUCCUGGUUCAUAAAAAAGAGGCCCAUUAUCUCUAUCAUGUAAUAACUUUGCGAUUUUUCCUCACGUGUGUUGUAUGUUACAUCAGCAACCCCAGAAUCCCCAUUAAAUUCAUUCCCCUGUUCCCUCGUUUAUUUUUUCAAGGCGAUCCAGCUGCCACUUUGUCUCCACAAAGUUAUCCACAGAUUCUUUGCCAGUCACACUGUAUAUUUCUCAAUUAGGAAGAAGAUGGUCUCCAACUGAUGAGUUUGAAUGCCUUUCUCGAACACCAUCUAUUGUACAUCAACCAUGAUAACUACCUCUAGAUUAAUAGAGGAAUUCAAACUGUACUAGAUUUGUGUAUAUUCCCCCUUACUGACAUUACUAACUUUCAGUUGUGCAUGCUUUUGCUUACCAUGGGAUCUCUCUACUUCGGUUUUUGUUUUUCAUCUCAUUUAUAUAUACUUAUAAUCCUCAAGCAUUUUCCCAAUAACUUCUCUAGUAAUAUUUUUAUCAAUUGGAUGCAUCUUUCAGUUCAUAUUUCUUCAAGGCUAAAUAUACCGCCUUAUCUUAUGUAUUCAUCAAAUCAGUGACAACAUCUUUAUUUCAGAACUGAUGCUGUAUAAUCCAUAGUUUCUUUGCUAGGUGUGCUGUACAUUUCUUAAUUAGGAAGAAAAUAGUCUCUGACUGAUGAGUUUGAAUGCCCUGCUUCACCACCAUUUAUUGUAAAUCAGCCAUGAUAAUUACCUCUGGAUUAACAGAGAAAUUAAAACUGCACCAGAUUUAUGGAUAUUCCACCUUUAUGACAUUAUUGUGACAAAUAACUUUCAGUUGUGCAUGCUCUUCCUUACCAUGGAUCCCUUUACUUCAGUUUUUAUUUUGUCUCAUUUGCAUAUGCUCUUUAUCUUCUAGCAUUUUCCCAUUAACUUCCCUGGUAAAUUGUAUAUCAUUAGAUGCACCUUUCAGUUCACAUUUCUCCAAGGCUAAA